UCAUGCUUUCUGUUGGUUGAUACAGGCUACUCUGUUCUCUCAUGCUUUUUGGUGAUAGUGGAUUCUUUUGAGGAGAUAACGGGAGGUGGGGCUGCCGCUGAGUGUAUUUCUGGUUUCAUACAGGUAAAAACACACUGUGUAUGAGGGGAAGUUUUAGUUGAAGGCCGAGUAGAUCUUGGGGAUGUAAAUCCCUGGGCACAGGACCGACUUUCAAAGAAGACGUGGGGGUCCAAAAGGAGAUCACCUAGCAAUAAAAGGCUCUUAGGUAAUAGCUGGGUAACAGAAUAAAUAGAAAAUUUCACCAAGGUGAAAUAUAUGCUAUGGUGAAUAUGUGGAGUUGGAAGGUAAGUUGGAAGGAUCUAAAGGGCCUCAGAGGGGUGGACUGAUUUGCUGGCCUGGAUGGUGGGGGAAGGGUUGUGGGUUCAUCACUUCUGUGUUUUCCCCUCCCCGACCAUCAAGAACCUUUGGUGUCUAUGCUAAAGCUCUGUGAUGCGGGCCUGGAACUCUAGUCUAGAAUGUGCACUCUUAACGCCCAGCUGCCUGAGGUGGCAGUGCACUUCUGGUGAUGCAGAUCACCCUCUUUGUCUGAGGAAUGUUAAUGCACCACGGCUGAGCUCCAGCUUGAGUUCCUAGGUAUUCCCAUCCCUGCCUUCCUGUGUGGGGUGGGGCUCCUUCUUCUGUCACUCUGCUACCUAAAGAGGAGUCCAUGUUUCCCAAUAUUUCGGAAAGAGAGAGACAUCAAUCAGUGUCAGGGCAGAGCCAAGAGGAGAAGAAAAGGUGGAACACCAAGUGGUUGGAGAGCUUGCCAGAGUGAAGCAGAGAAGGCAAGGAAGGUGCUUUCUCUGCUGCAAAGGUGACUAAACACAAUCCUUCUUUCCUGUAUCCCGCUUCUUAGAAGGGUCUAAGAAUUUCUAGGGCCUCAGUGAAACUUGAGAUUGAUAAGGGAAGGAAAAUCCUCAGAUUUUGCAAUCCAGAUUGUGAAAGUCUUGGGAGAAGGAAACAACAUAGAUUGUGAGCUCAAGGAAGUGGGGGGAUGUGAAAGGACAGUACGCAAUGGGUGCCCCUACCUCUGUCAGACCUGCCAGGGCCCCAUAUAUUUGUUCUGGUCCUG